rnacentral:lncRNA from 1 species
CUUCAAUGUCUCCUGCUCUGUCGUCGCCCGUCGCACCUUCUCCGACCAUCGCCCAAACCUUGUGCAGAUUACUUCAAUUUCAACCAUCACUAUUGCUUAUAUAACAAAUUUUUCACAUAAUCCAAUUCACAAGGAAAAAAUUUGUUCAUUUUACCCGGAAUUAGAUCCGAAAUAACUUCUAAAAGUUUAGGGUUUGCUUUAGCUUAAACAAAUGGAAUGCUUUCCUCAUUGCAAUCAAUGUACAUAUUAUCCACAACAUGCCCCGCAAAGGAUAAAAUCAGUUCAAGGUUUUUGAAAGAGAUUUCUAGAGAUGGUUUGAUCUUUCCAAGUAUGUGAUUUUUCUAUUUGAUGGAUAGAAAUAAACAAGUGGCAUAUAAACAGGAGGCGCUAUUUGAUCAAGAAAUGAAAGCCAGUGUUUUAUAAGGAAAUUUAGGUUGGAGAAGAAGGCUUAAUGUUUUCUGUGCAGAUUACUUCAAUUUCAGCAAUCACUAUUGCUUAUAUAAAAGCAACUUUUGGGGGUUUUUGCUCUAUGAUUUCUUGAAGAUUGUAAACCUUAUAUAUUAUCUACACAUUCAUAUAUUAUAUAUAGUAAUGAGAUGUAUAUUUCUUUCUUUAGUGUGUAUUCGUGUAAAUGUUUGACAAUCUAUCUUUUGUGCCAUUUGGAGUUGGUGUGGAAAAUUAUCUGCUGUUGAUAUGAUAAUUAUCUUUUGCUCUAUCUCGUCUUUGAAGAUUCAUACGGUGAUAUUGCCUCAAACGAUCGGAGAUGGAGGGUUUGCUAAACAGUCGAAGAAAUUGUGACGGUCAACGAAGGAGUAGCCCGACGAUGGAGGGGAGAGUUGUGGAUUUCAGGUCUUCUUAUGGAGAGAGAAGCAGCAGGGUUUGGAAAUGGAUAUUUCGGGUCUCACUCGGCCAGUUUUCAUUUUUUUAUGUAUGUAUUUCUUAUGCCCUUUUUGCUUUAUUUUUUAUUUUAUUUCAUGUGUCAUGUCAGCAAUUUUCAAACCCCUGUUUUUUAACCGAACCAUUCUACACGUACAAUUUUUUUCACAACACACACAUGCAAGUGGGUGGUGUCCAUGAUUAAAAUAAUUCUGGACCCCACCUUUGUGAGGGAGUGUGAAAAUUGAUGUAAAAAAAAUGAUGUACAAAUAGCAUUUUUGUUUUUAACAUGUUUUUGUCCUUGGCUGAGUAGCUUUA